UACGGAGGGGGCUAGCGUUAUUCGGAAUUAUUGGGCGUAAAGGGCGCGUAGGCGGCCCGGUAAGUCAAAGGUGAAAUCCCUCGGCUCAACUGAGGAACUGCCUUUGAAACUGUCGGGCUCGAGGCCGGGGAGGGGGUAGCGGAAUUCCCAGUGUAGCGGUGAAAUGCGUAGAUAUUGGGAGGAACACCAGUGGCGAAGGCGGCUACCUGGACCGGUACUGACGCUGAUGCGCGAAAAGCGUGGGGAGCAAACAGG
rnacentral:rRNA from 1 species